rnacentral:rRNA from 1 species
UACGGGGGGGCAAGCGUUGUUCGGAAUUACUGGGCGUAAAGGGCUCGUAGGCGGCCAACUAAGUCCGACGUGAAAUCCCCAGGCUUAACUUGGGAACUGCGUCGGAUACUGGUUGGCUUGAAUCCGGGAGAGGGAUGCGGAAUUCCAGGUGUAGCGGUGAAAUGCGUAGAUAUCAAGUGGAACACCAGUGGCGAAGGCGAGUCUCUGGACAUUUCCUGACGCUGAGGCACGAAAGCCAGGGGAGCAAACGGG